GCCUGGGUAGCUUAGUGGUAAAGCAGCGGUUUUGUAAACCGCCGACGGGUGUCCGAUUCACCCCCCAGGCU
rnacentral:tRNA from 1 species